AAAGCUGUUGCGCUGUAAGCGAGGCAAGUUCUGUCGACGCGCAUGCGCAGAACCAGAAGCACCUUUGUGAAAGAACUGAGGGAAUGUUAGUUCGCUUGUUUUGCACUAAAGAGUAGCCAUCCAGUCCAGGUGAAAAAACAAAGAGGAAGGAAAGAAGGAAAUCUAGGACACUUCUUCAGCUGUUGAUGUUAUAAAAAUUGGAGGACUAAGCAAGAAGCAAAAAAGUUCAAAAAUAUCUGACUGGAUAUCAGCAUUUGAAGCAUGUGUUAUUCCUUCUCCACUUUUUGUGUGCAGUCUAAACAGCUUCAUGAAGACAGUAGAGAGGAUGAGUCUAAAGAGACAAAGAACAACAGUUUCUAAAGGAACGUUCUGCACAAGUCAUCAUCUGGCAAGCAAGAUGUGUGUGCUCCAUAUCCAGUUGGGAGAAGCAGUAACAGAGUUCUUCUCCACACUUUGAAGCUACAAUUUGAAGCCAUGUAACUAAGGCAAACAAUAUCUCUUGGCUUGACAACACUACUGGACAAAAAACAUGUGGUUUGUCAUCUACUGUCAUGCCACUAUGGAAGUUCAGAGAGAGCCUGCUGGGGCAUAAACAAAUGCAAUACUUGUAACCACCAAGUCCUAUUAGUUAAGUGUACCCACUAGGCCAGCACAAUACGUAACCUGCUCUGCAAUAAUGAUGUGUUGCCCUGGGUUAAGUGCACAUGUGUGGGAAGUAAACACCAUGUAAUGAUUAGCUGGUGGCCUUCAUGAAAGUUAUUCUAGACUGGCAGAGGGACACUAAUGGGCAUCUAAAUAUAACAGUGUGCUAUCGAGGUUAGCUACAGGUAGGUUGCUGGCAUGAUAUAGUUGAUUUUCAGGCCAGUUUUGGUCUAACCCCCACCCCCACCCCCACAUGAAACAUGUAACACUUCUCUUUGACAUUUGAUUAUCAACACAACUGCCUCAUGCUGGGCUGGCUCAAGAUGCCUUGCUGCCUGAAGUCAAACUGUAAACAGCACCCUCCAAGUGAAUUUGCUUAGAACACAGAGUGAGCCAACUAAUAUUAGGACAUGAGACAGAGAAAAACCCUAGAGGCACCUCUCUCACAGCCUAGUAUUGAAAAUGUAAUAACAACAAAGUAAGAAACGGUUACUAUUCUUUCAAGACACCCAGAUCUGCUUUCUGUGGCAGCCACCUUAUUCUACCCAGCCCUGUGUUUACCCUCUGUGUACUGACAUUUAGCAGUCCUUUUCCUGCUGCUGAUCUCUCCUUGAAAUCUGUUAUUAUAAAAGGCAUUAUCAGCAUUCAAGCUUCCCCAGAUUUCUCUCUGCAUUUGAGUUUCCCCUUAAAAGGGGGGGGGGGAAACAAAAAUGUUACUCACUCUCAAUGCAGAGAACUAAAAUGUGAUCUUGGCAUGCAUCCUGUAUUAAAGCGGCAGGUUUUCUCUGCAGUUCAUCAUCAUUUCAACCCUAUUGACAUGUUUUACCCCAUUAUCAGCCUUUUAGCCAAAUUCUCUAGAAAAAUAAAUGCCGGAAACUAUGGAUACAAGAUUGGUAUUUAUUCUAGAGAGAGAAGGUUGGUUUUUUUUCUUCAUUGAAAUAAAGUUGCCUGGAACCUACGUACUGGAUGGAAACAAAUAUCCAAGAUCCUUUACUGCUAAUUGUGGUCACUCCACCCACUCACUUAAAGCAAGAUGUGUAGCACCAGAUAAGUUGACCUGGCAUGUGAAGAAGGAGAUCCCUCAAGUGCUCCCCCCACAUCCCCCACAGUCACAAUAAAUUAAAUUGCUAACCAUCUCCUAUUUCCAUAAAACCCUAAAACUACUGCCUGUUCCUGCUACCUCAUGCUGUGGUAGAGGCAGACUUGGGCACUGCAGCUCAAGUGAACAGCUCCAGCUAGGGGUGGCAAGAUAGCCAAGGAGUGCACACAAGUGAGAGACAACAGCACCGUCACUGGGACUGCUGAAAAAGCACCACUUUUCUCAGCCAUUAGCUCCCUUGGUACAGCAAGAUGCAAGCAGCGAAAAGAUCCCAGUCUAAAUAACAUACAAGAGCUGGCAGUUACCACAGCAGGGGACAACAGCAGAAUUGCUGCAGUGCAGCUGUUUUCUCAUUAAAGCCAGAAAGUCAUAUGUACUUGGGGACUGACAGCAGCAUCAACAAAGAGGCCAAGAAUAAAUAUUUCUUAGUCCUCCCUAUAGAGGGUGAAAUUGUGAGGAGGGGUAUGAUUCUUUUGCCCAGCUGGUAACAUAAUGGCUGGGGAUUACAGAAGACUUUUAAAUGGUCUGUCUGAACAGAGCAUUGAGUCAUUGUUUGUGUGUGCUGCAAGAGAAAUGCCUGUGCUUCCAUGUAAGAAUAUUGGGGGGGAGGGGCAUUGACCAACAACUGAGGCACAACAUUGUAAAAGUAGCUAUUCCUGUGGGAGUUCAAUUUUACAUCCAUCACAUACACACACAUGUGCAUCCCAUCAAAGAGCAGGUAGUCAGAGUAUUCCAAAAUGCAGCGAAGACUCUGGUCAGUAUCUUGAGUCACAGAAGCAGCUAUGGGAAUUGGGUGAGUUGCCAGUCUUAUCAAAGAGCUGUGGCCACUUCAUAACAUCCAUUCCACA